rnacentral:rRNA from 1 species
GCGCGUAAAUUGCCCGAAUCCCGACACAGGGAGGUAGUGACAAGAAAUAACAAUACAGGGCCAUCUGGUCUUGUAAUUGGAAUGAGUACAAUUUACAUCUCUUCACGAGGAUCAAUUGGAGGGCAAGUCUGGUGCCAGCAGCCGCGGUAAUUCCAGCUCCAAUAGCGUAUAUUAAAGUUGUUGCAGUUAGAACGCUCGUAGUCGGAUUUCGGGGCGGGCCGACCGGUCUGCCGAUGGGUAUGUACUGGCCGGCGCGUCCUUCCUUCCGGAGACCGUGCCUACUCUUAACUGAGCGGGGGCGGGAGACGGGACUUUUACUUUGAAAAAAUCAGAGUGUUUCAAGCAGGCAGCUCGCUCUUGCAUGGAUUAGCAUGGGAUAAUAAAAUAGGACUUUGGUGCUAUUUUGUUGGUUUCGAACACCGAAGUAAUGAUGAGAAGGGACAGUCAGGGGCACUCGUAUUCC